rnacentral:lncRNA from 1 species
GAGCGGCGCGUGGGGCGGGGCCAGAGAGUGUAACUGAGACCGGAGCUUCCGGGUGCGGCUGCCCGGCCGGGACGGGUCCGUCCAGCUGCGCGGGGCCCGGGGCGGCGGCGCGGAGCAGCGCCCGGGGGGGAUUGCCAGCCCCCUUCCCCCACGACCUGCUGUUCCAGAUGAGGCGAGGGGAAGGGCCCUGUGCCCCGCAUCUCCAGGACUCCACGCAAAGGGUGGUCCUGAGGAGAACCCGUGCAGGUGGCAGGAGUGAGGCUGAGGUGGGAGAUCUCUG